UACGGGGGAGCAAGCGUUGUUCGGAUUUACUGGGCGUAAAGGGCGCGUAGGCGGCCACCGCAAGUCGACUGUGAAAUCUCCGGGCUUAACCCGGAAAGGUCAGCCGAUACUGCGGGCUAGAGUGCAGAAGGGGCAACUGGAAUUCUCGGUGUAGCGGUGAAAUGCGUAGAUAUCGAGAGGAACACCUGCGGCGAAGGCGGGUUGCUGGGCUGACACUGACGUGAGGCGCGAAAGCUAGGGGAGCGAACGGG
rnacentral:rRNA from 1 species